GGGCGUGUGGCUCAGUUGGUAGAGCGUUCGCUUAGCAUAUCUGGGUAUGCGAAAGGUCCUGAGUUCGAUUCUUAGCUCGUCCA
rnacentral:tRNA from 1 species